ensembl:snRNA U6 U6 spliceosomal RNA
GUGCUUGCUUCAGCAGCACAUAUACUAAAAUUGGGUCAGUACAGAGAAGAUUAGCAUGUCCCCUGCAUGAGGAUGACAUUCAUGAAGUGUUCCAUAUGGGG